CGUCUAUAUACGUAUAGCAUAUCAAUAAGCGGAGGAAAAGAAACUAACUAGGAUUCCCUCAGUAACGGCGAGUGAAGCGGGAAGAGCUCAAAUUUGAAAUCUUCAAGGUUUUACCUUGACGAAUUGUAGUUUAAAGAAGUGUUUUCUGUUGGAAUUUUGGUAAAAGUUCUUUGGAAAAAGACAUCAAAGAGGGUGAGAAUCCCGUAUUUGACCAUUAUUUCCAGCUUUGUGAUACACUUUCAAAGAGUCGGAUUGUUUGGGAAUGCAGUCCAAAAUGGGUGGUAAAUUUCAUCUAAAGCUAAAUAUUGGCGAGAGACCGAUAGCGAACAAGUACCGUGAGGGAAAGAUGAAAAGAACUUUGAAAAGAGAGUUAAACAGUACGUGAAAUUGUCAAAAGGGAAGCGUUUGACACCAGUGUUGUUUUUCCGAAAAUCAAUUAAGAAUGGCCGGAUUUUAAGUUUCAUGACCUUAAAAGCUUGUUUCUUAUUUUUCUUGUCUUUCUUAAUGCACUUUUCGGUUAACAGGUCAACAUCAAUUUCUUUUGUUGUAAAAGGUUAAGAGGAAGGUGGCUUUACUUUCGGGUAAAGUGUUUAUAGCCUUUUAACUCUGCAAUCGGAGAGAUUGAGGUCUGCAGCGUAGAUCCUUCGGGGCUAGAUACGUUUGUGCUAAGUUAUAGCUUUUCAUAGACAACUUGUUGACUAUGUUUAGUCUUGUAGCUUACUCGCAUGCGCUAUUUUACCUACGCUUAGGAUGUUGAUAUGCAUGACUGAUAU
rnacentral:rRNA from 1 species